AUGAGGCCAAUAAGUUUUGAGGAAGUUGGAGGGGGCAAUGCGAUCCAAAAACAAAGUUUGCAGGCCAUCCAAGUUCUCUGGAACGAAUGGGAGAUCCAUUGUCUCAUACUUGCGAGCUUUUCCCUACAAGUAUUCCUCUUCUUUGCAUCAGGCAUGCGGAGGCAUAGCGUGUCCCGCAUACUCAAUUCCCUUAUAUGGUUGGCCUACUUAUCAGCCGACUCUAUGGCCAUUUUCGUUCUUGGACAUCUCGCGGUCCAUGCAAGUGGCUCACACCAUCUUCUUAUCUUCUGGGCGCCGUUCCUGCUCCUCCACAUGGGAGGGCAGGACACUAUCACCGCCUUCUCCAUGCAAGAUAACAACCUCUGGCAGCGCCACCUUCUAGGAUUGGUCACCCAAGCAUCGGUGGCCGGCUAUGUCAUCUCGAUAUCGUCUUGGCAAGAUAGCCGACUCCUGGCCGCCACAGUGCUCAUGUUCUUGUCUGGGUUUUUUAAGUACAUCGGGCGUAUCUUUUGUCUUUACACAUCUAGUCCAAAGCUCCUCAAGGAUUUUACCGUGGCUAAUUUGGAUAGAUAUGUCAACGAUAUAUACUAUAUACCAGGCACUGUUCAAAAGGAAUCAUUUGAGGAUAUACUAAGGCGGAGAGUGCAUGAUAUGAUGCUCAGCGACAUCGACUUGAAGCUAAUGCCCCAUAGCAAUUCAGUACAUAUAUUGUUGGAUACUCCACUCAAUGAUAGGGCUACUAUUGAGUGCGCGACUAUCAUACCAGACUUGCUCAAUAUGCUCAAGUAUAGCGCAGACCGCUCCAAUGCCUACAUUUAUGUUGGUAUAAUGCUUGUUCGUUCUUAUGAACGUGUCUACACCAAGGCUGCGCUUCAUUUUGCGUGGAUUAACUGUUUCAGCAUAACAGUGUCCAAAUAUUAUGAGUACAAAAAGCUACGCAUAGCAUUUCUUCACAUUAUGGCAUUGCUCUUGCUCUUCCCGGUUAUCUCUGCCUCGAUAACAUUAGAGCUCUUCAUGGUUGCCGAAAAGGCGCAACUCUACAGCCAUACCGAUGUCACGAUCUCCUACAUAUUACUCCUAGGGGCCAUAAUCCUUGAGGUGGCAUCUCUCUCGAUGUCCCUUCUUUCCUACUUCGCAUCGAGUGAAGCACCAACAUCUUUUCCACUUGCACCUAUAGCCUUGUCUGUGGCCAACUAUGUUCACCCCGCAGGCCGACAUAGAAAACACUGGUCCAAAAUGCUUGGACAGUAUAACAUGUUCGAAUACCACAUGGGGGGAGCUUCCACAGGCAUCAUGUCAGUUGUAUCAUGGUGGAUUAGACAGACAUUUUCAGUAAUUCCCAACAAUAAAUAUCUCAAGGAGUUUUCAAGAAUCCCCAUAAGUAAAGAUCUUGAGGAGUUUGUUCUGGACAAAUUGUUAGAGUUUGGAACAGGGGAGGAAGCAGGCUGGAACUUUGCAAGCUUUCGUGGACAGCUAGCGCUUGAUAGGUGGACCGCUUUGCGCACGAUCAUCGAUAGCACCGACCUGCCAACAAGUGUGCUGAUCUGGCACAUUGCAACGGAGAUAUGCUACUUGACUGAAGAAAACAACAAUGGUCUUCGCGAUCCACCUAAGAAGACAAGGGUGAGCAGAGAUCUAUCAAACUAUAUCAUGUACCUUGUCUUCACGUGUGGUGUGAUGCCUACAGGAAGCUCCAAACUCGUACCUUUGCUCGCCCAUAAGGAAAUCAGGGAAGCUAUUGGACGAUAUGCUGCUAUGGCCACUAGGGAUGGAGCUAUUAGGACGGUGCUUCGAGCUAAUAUCAUAAGAAAGCAACAAUCAGCCGAUACAGAUGAUAUGGGCGGCAGCAGCAGCGAACCGGCAACUCAGGUGCAACUUCUUAAAAACAAUAUAAAGGCUAUUCGUUCUCCGGUGGUGCCUCGUGCAUGUACAGUGGCGGACGAGCUGAAUAGCAUGCCUAGAGAUGGCCGCUGGGAGCUCAUUGGAGAUGUAUGGCUGGAGAUGCUUUUCUACAUCGCGCCUCGCUGUGGGGGUGCUUUCCAUGCUCAUCAUCUCAGUACUGGCGGGGAGUUCGUGACGCAUGUCCUCCAACUCAUGCGUUUACUAGGCCCUUUUCUACCACCGCCAGAUGCUUAG
rnacentral:rRNA from 1 species